rnacentral:rRNA from 1 species
UACGGGGGGGGCAAGCGUUGUUCGGAAUUACUGGGCGUAAAGGGCUCGUAGGUGGCCAACUAAGUCAUGCGUGAAAUCCCUCGGCUUAACCGGGGAACUGCGUCUGAUACUGGAUGGCUUGAGUUUGGGAGGGGGAUGCGGAAUUCCAGGUGUAGCGGUGAAAUGCGUAGAUAUCUGGAGGAACACCGGUGGCGAAGGCGGCAUCCUGGACCAACACUGACACUGAGGAGCGAAAGCCAGGGGAGCAAACGGG